GGCCGCCUGGCGAAAUGGCAUCGCGUCUGACUACGAUAAGAACUUCGGUGGCGGAAUCAGGAGAUUGCAGGUUCGACCCCUGCGGUGGUCA